GACGAACGCUGGCGGCGUGCUUAACACAUGCAAGUCGAACGGAAAGGCCCUGCUUUUGUGGGGUGCUCGAGUGGCGAACGGGUGAGUAACACGUGAGUAACCUGCCCUUGACUUUGGGAUAACUUCAGGAAACUGGGGCUAAUACCGGAUAGGAGCUCCUGCUGCAUGGUGGGGGUUGGAAAGUUUCGGCGGUUGGGGAUGGACUCGCGGCUUAUCAGCUUGUUGGUGGGGUAGUGGCUUACCAAGGCUUUGACGGGUAGCCGGCCUGAGAGGGUGACCGGAAACAUUGGGAGAGAAAUACGAACGAGAAGUGAACGGGAGGAAGAAGCGAGGCAUGGGGGAGAAUGGCGGGAAGGGGGAGGGCGGCUCGAGGAGGGCGGGAAGAAGGAUGAAGGGUAGAAAACGAAUGUGGCCGGUGAAGAAGCGUGAGGGAAGGUAAGGGGCAAAGAGACAAAGGAUAAGUAAGGG
rnacentral:rRNA from 1 species